CCUACGGGAGGCAGCAGUGGGGAAUAUUGCACAAUGGGGGAAACCCUGAUGCAGCGACGCCGCGUGAGUGAAGAAGUCUUUCUGUGUUGAAAGCUCUAUCAGCAGGGAGGAAAUAAAGUCCUUCGGACUUUUGACGGUCCCUGCCUACGAAUCCCCGUCUACCUACGUGACAGCAGUCGCGGUAAUACGUAGGGGGCAAGCGUUAUCCGGAUUUACUGGGUGUAAAGGGAGGGUAGACGGCAGCGCAAGUCUGGAGUGAAAUCACAUGGCUUAACCAUGGAACUGCUUUGGAAACUGUGCAGCUGGAGAGCAGGCGAGGUAAGCGGAAUUACUAGAGUAGCGGUGAAAUGCGUAGAUAUGAGGAGGAACACCAGUGGCGAAGGCGGCUUACUGGACUGUAACUGACGUUGAGGCUCGAAAGCGUGGGGAGCAAACAGGAUUAGAUACCCCGGUAGUC
rnacentral:rRNA from 1 species